AGGGAAUUUUCGUCAAUGGGGGGAACCCUGAACGAGCAAUGCCGCGUGAGUGAGGAAGGUCUUCGGAUCGUAAAGCUCUGUUGUAAGAGAAAAACGGCACUCAUAGGGAAUGAUGAGUGAGUGAUGGUAUCUUACCAGAAAGUCACGGCUAACUACGUGCCAGCAGCCGCGGUAAUACGUAGGUGGCGAGCGUUAUCCGGAAUGAUUGGGCGUAAAGGGUGCGUAGGUGGCAGAUCAAGUCUGGAGUAAAAGGUAUGGGCUCAACCCGUACUGGCUCUGGAAACUGAUCAGCUAGAGAACAGAAGAGGACGGCGGAACUCCAUGUGUAGCGGUAAAAUGCGUAGAUAUAUGGAAGAACACCGGUGGCGAAGGCGGCCGUCUGGUCUGGAUUCUGACACUGAAGCACGAAAGCGUGGGGAGCAAAUAGGAUUAGAUACCCUAGUAGUCCACGCCGUAAACGAUGAGAACUAGGUGUUGGGGGAAUAACUCAGUGCCGCAGUUAACGCAGUAAGUUCUCCGCCUGGGGAGUAUGCACGCAAGUGUGAAACUCAAAGGAAUUGACGGGGGCCCGCACAAGCGGUGGAGUAUGUGGUUUAAUUCGAAGCAACGCGAAGAACCUUACCAGGCCUUGACAUCCCUUGCAGAGGUAUAGAGAUAUAUCCGAGGUUAUCAAGGAGACAGGUGGUGCAUGGUUGUCGUCAGCUCGUGUCGUGAGAUGUUGGGUUAAGUCCCGCAACGAGCGCAACCCUUGUGAUAUGUUACUAACAUUGAGUUGAGGACUCAUAUCAGACUGCCGGUGAUAAACCGGAGGAAGGUGGGGAUGACGUCAAAUCAUCAUGCCCCUUAUGGCCUGGGCUACACACGUACUACAAUGGCGUCUACAAAGAGCGGCAAGCCUGUGAAGGCAAGCGAAUCUCAUAAAGGACGUCUCAGUUCGGAUUGAAGUCUGCAACCCGACUUCAUGAAGCUGGAAUCGCUAGUAAUCGCGAAUCAGCAUGUCGCGGUGAAUACGUUCUCG
rnacentral:rRNA from 1 species